ACCUGGAUAGCUCAGUCGGUAGAGCAGGAGACUCUGAAUCUCUUGGCCAUGGGUUCUAGUCCCAUAUUGGGCA